CCGUGACCCUUAAACAAAACAGACCGCGAACGAGUCACCCGUGCCGCCGGGCUCCGGCCCGGCACGCUGCCCCCCCGAACCUCCCACGGGGAAGGGGGGCCGCGAAAAAGAACCCACGGCGCCCCGGGCGCCAAGGAACACCAGUACUACCUCCUGCCCCGCGGAGCGGUCGGCCCGCCUUCUGCUCCCCGGGCAGCGGUUACACCCUAAUCGACACGACUCUCGGCAACGGAUAUCUCGGCUCUCGCAUCGAUGAAGAACGUAGCAAAAUGCGAUACCUGGUGUGAAUCGCAGAAUCCCGCGAGCCAUCGAGUUUUUGAACGCAAGUUGCGCCCGAAGCCUUCUGGCGGAGGGCACGUCUGCCUGGGCGUCACGCCAAAAGACACUCCCAACACCCCCCCCGCGGGGUGAGGGACGUGGCGUCUGGCCCCCCGCGCCGCAGGGCGAGGUGGGCCGAAGCAGGGGCUGCCGGCGAACCGCGCCGGGCGCAGCACGUGGUGGGCGACAUCAAGUUGUUCUCGGUGCAGCCUCCCGGCGCGCGGCCGGCCAUUCGGCCCUACGGACCCAUCGAGCGACCGGGCUUGUCCUCGGACC
rnacentral:rRNA from 1 species